AAAAAUUUCCCUCAAGCUCCCUCACUCAUUCUCGGCCCUCCUCUCUCCCAAACUAACACACAAUAAAAAAACUCACCAAAUCCAACUCCCUCUAUCGGCUACUUUUCUCCUUUUUUCUCAAAAAAAUUCUCAACACAACACGCUCACUCACAAAAAAUCCUCUCUAUUCCUCUUUUUACACUUACUUGCACACAACAACUCUCACCAAUUUUGUUUCUCCUCU
rnacentral:lncRNA from 1 species